GCCUGAGUGGUUCAGUCAGUAAAGCACCAGAUUUUAAUCUGAGGAUCCUAGGUUCAAGUCCCUUUUCAGGCA
rnacentral:tRNA from 1 species